rnacentral:tRNA from 1 species
CACUAGGUGACUGAAAAGAAGUGUAGGUCUUUUAAACCUAAAAUAGUAUAACUUACUUCUAGUGU